rnacentral:rRNA from 1 species
GAGUUUGAUCCUGGCUCAGGAUGAACGCUAGCGGCAGGCCUAACACAUGCAAGUCGAGGGGUAGAGUUAGCUUGCUAACUUGAGACCGGCGCACGGGUGCGUAACGCGUAUGCAAUCUACCUUGUACAGGGGGAUAGCCCAGAGAAAUUUGGAUUAAUAUCCCAUAGUGUUAUGAUGUGGCAUCACAUUAUAACUAAAGUUCCAACGGUACAAGAUGAGCAUGCGUCCCAUUAGCUAGUUGGUGUGGUAACGGCAUACCAAGGCAAUGAUGGGUAGGGGUCCUGAGAGGGAGAUCCCCCACACUGGUACUGAGACACGGACCAGACUCCUACGGGAGGCAGCAGUGAGGAAUAUUGGUCAAUGGGCGCAAGCCUGAACCAGCCAUGCCGCGUGCAGGAUGACGGUCCUAUGGAUUGUAAACUGCUUUUGUACGGGAAGAAACACUCCUACGUGUAGGAGCUUGACGGUACCGUAAGAAUAAGGAUCGGCUAACUCCGUGCCAGCC